rnacentral:rRNA from 1 species
GACGAACGCUGGCGGCGUGCUUAACACAUGCAAGUCGAACGAAGAGCGAUGGAAGCUUGCUUCUAUCAAUCUUAGUGGCGAGCGGGUGAGUAACGCGUAAUCAACCUGCCCUUCUGAGGGGGACAACAGUUGGAAACGACUGCUAAUACCCCAUACGAUCUAAUCUCGGCAUCGAGGAUAGAUGAAAGGUGGCCUCUACAUGUAAGCUAUCACUGAAAGUGGGGAUUGCGGCUGAUUAGCUAGUUGGAGGGGUAAGGGCCCACGUAGGCGAGGAUGAGUAGCCGGGCGGAGGGGAUGGACGGCCGCAAUGGGAGUGAGACCAGGCCCAGAAUCCUACGGGAGGCAGCAGGGGGGAAUCGUCCGGAAUGGACGGAAGUCUGACGGAGCAACGCCGCGGCGUGGGUGACGGCCUUCGGGUUGUAAAGCUCUGUUUAUCGGGACGAAAGGCCUUCUUGCGAAUAGUGAGAAGGAUUGACGGUACCGGAAAAGAAAGCCACGGCUAACUACGUG